rnacentral:misc_RNA from 1 species
GAUGAAGAACGCAGCGAAAUGCGAUAAGUAAUGUGAAUUGCAGAAUUCAGUGAAUCAUCGAAUCUUUGAACGCACAUUGCGCCCUCUGGUAUUCCGGGGGGCAUGCCUGUUCGAGCGUCAUUUCAACCCUCAAGCUCUGCUUGGUAUUGGGCCCCGCCGGCACCCGGCGCGCCCUAAAAUCAGUGGCGGCGUCAUCUGGCUCCAAGCGUAGUAAUUCUUCUCGCUAUAGAGUCCCGGUGGAUGCUUGCCAUUAACCCCCAAUUUUCUAUGGUUGACCUCGGAUCAGGUAGGGAUACCCGCUGAACUUAAGCAUAUCAAUAAGCGGAGGA